rnacentral:snoRNA from 3 species
AGCCAGUGAUGUUAAUCAAAAUAUUUGCUACUCUUGAUGGGGCAACGACCCCAUUUGAUGAUCACAACCACCAAGAUCUCUGAGGCC